GGAGGAUUAGUCUAAUUGGUAAGGCACCGGUCUUGAAAACCGGCGGUGUAAAAGCCAUGAGAGUUCGAGUCUCUCAUCCUCCGCCA
rnacentral:tRNA from 1 species